AGUUCAUUGAACGAAGAGUACACCAAACUUCAAGAAGCAUAUGAAAUGUUCUGUGAAGUAAAAGAUGCACAUCUACAGGCCUUCGAAGGUAUGUCCAACCUACUCCACAAGUCGAAGUUGAGAAAAAGUUGAGCAGCAUGAACACUACAAGUGCUAUGUGUUGGGAGAUUUUAUGAAGAAUGACGCUUGAAGAUGCUAAAAGUAACUCAAAGAAUUACCUAUUGCACCACAGUCCUGCACUCAAAGUAAGCUGAGAUAGGAUCAAUCAGUGUGAUAUGCAUCCAUUUGGCAUAUUUACACGUUUAACCUAGCUCAGCCUCCG